GAGUUUGAUCCUGGCUCAGAUUGAACGCUGGCGGCAUGCCUUACACAUGCAAGUCGAGCGGCAGCGCGGGGGCAACCCUGGCGGCGAGCGGCGAACGGGUGAGUAAUGCAUCGGAACGUGUCCUCUUGUGGGGGAUAACCAGUCGAAAGACUGGCUAAUACCGCAUGAGAUCGAGAGAUGAAAGCAGGGGACCGCAAGGCCUUGCGCGAGAGGAGCGGCCGAUGCCGGAUUAGCUAGUUGGUGGGGUAAAAGCCUACCAAGGCGACGAUCCGUAGCUGGUCCGAGAGGACGACCAGCCACACUGGGACUGAGACACGGCCCAGACUCCUACGGGAGGCAGCAGUGGGGAAUUUUGGACAAUGGGGGCAACCCUGAUCCAGCCAUGCCGCGUGUGUGAAGAAGGCCUUCGGUUGUAAG
rnacentral:rRNA from 1 species